rnacentral:hammerhead_ribozyme from 1 species
GUCAGGCUGACGUGUCCCAAACAGGACACAACGCGCGUCCUGGAU